rnacentral:rRNA from 1 species
GACGAACGCUGGCGGCGCGCUUAACACAUGCAAGUCGAGCGAUGAAAUUUCGACAGAUCCCUUCGGGGUGAAGAUGAAAUGGAUUAGCGGCGGACGGGUGAGUAACACGUGAGUAACCUGCCUUUGACAUUGGGAUAGCCUCGGGAAACUGGGAUUAAUACCAAAUGACACUAACUGAUCACAUGAUCAAUUAGUCAAAGAAAUUCGGUCAAAGAUGGACUCGCGGCUGAUUAGCUAGUUGGUGAGGUAACGGCCCACCAAGGCGACGAUCAGUAGCCGGCGUGAGAGGGUGAUCGGCCACAUUGGAACUGAGACACGGUCCAAACUCCUGCGGGAGGCAGCAGUGGGGAAUAUUGCACAAUGGGGGAAACCCUGAUGCAGCGACGCCGCGUGAGCGAAGAAGGCCUUCGGGUCGUAAAGCUCUUUUAUGAGGGAAGAUAAUGACGGUACCUCAAGAAAAAGCCCCGGCUAACUACGUG